rnacentral:rRNA from 1 species
AUUGAACGCUGGCGGCAGGCCUAACACAUGCAAGUCGAGCGGAUGAAGGGAGCUUGCUCCUGGAUUCAGCGGCGGACGGGUGAGUAAUGCCUAGGAAUCUGCCUGGUAGUGGGGGAUAACGUCCGGAAACGGGCGCUAAUACCGCAUACGUCCUGAGGGAGAAAGUGGGGGAUCUUCGGACCUCACGCUAUCAGAUGAGCCUAGGUCGGAUUAGCUAGUUGGUGGGGUAAAGGCCUACCAAGGCGACGAUCCGUAACUGGUCUGAGAGGAUGAUCAGUCACACUGGACUUGAGACACGGUCCAGACUCCUACGGGAGGCAGCAGUGGGGAAUAUUGGACAAUGGGCGAAAGCCUGAUCCAGCCAUGCCGCGUGUGUGAAGAAGGUCUUCGGAUUGUAAAGCACUUUAAGUUGGGAGGAAGGGCAGUAAGUUAAUACCUUGCUGUUUUGACGUUACCAACAGAAUAAGCACCGGCUAACUUCGU